GUCAAACCAUACCAGCCUGAACACACCAAUCUUGUCUGAUUUUGGAAGCUGGGAAGGGUCAGGUCUGGUCAGUAGUUGAAUGAGAGACCACUCAAGAAUACCAAAGAUCACC
rnacentral:rRNA from 1 species